CAAAAAACCAUUUAGCAUAACAUAUCUGGAUUGGCAGCAGGUGUAUGUAUACUGUACAUUGAGUCACAAGGACACACACAGGGCGAGGGGGAGAACAGGUUAUGUCCUGGGUGAGUGGGGUCUUUCGUCCAGUAAAAAUGUCUCGGAGGUCUGGUAGUGUUUUGCCGAAGACAUGCUCUGCCGCCCUCACCACCUGCCGUGGGACCUUUCUGUUCUCCUCUGUGCAGCUGUUAAACCACACCAUACAGCAACAGGUCAGGAGACUCUCUAUAGCUGACCAAUAGAAGUUGGUCAGCAGAUGUUGAGGGAGGUGAGCCUAAAGUCUCUGUUGAGCCCUCCCCACCUGAUGAAAGAUGUGUGUGGUCCAGAUGGCACUGCAUCAAGAACCAUCAUUCAUCAAUAGCUGAUAUAACCACAUGGGCAAGGGAUUACAUUGGCAAACCUUUGUGAAGCACAAUACAGAGUUACAUUCACAAAUGCCAUUUAAUACUUUUCUGUGCAAAAAGAAGCCUUAUGUUAACCAUGUCCAAAAGUGGCAUCGACUUCUCUGGGCUCAGAGUCAUCUGGGAUGGACCAUCACACAGUGGAAACCAAUGAAAACAAAAUAUCUCGAGUUUGCACUGUCUGCAAUUGUAUACUAAAACUCAAUAGCGUCCAAUUGCCUGAUUGCAUCAUGCUUUCUCUCCACCAAUGCCGAUCCCUGCUCUGAUUGAGGAGAACGAAGCUAACCCACGCCCCCUCCGACACGGUGGCAGCAGCCGUGCCAUCAAUCAGGCAGCAGAGGUCGUAACUGCAUUAGUUAUGAGAGAGAGAGACAAUAUCCGGCUUCAUCCCACCCAUAUCUGAACAACAAGCCAAUCGUUGUUCAUGUGGCUGCUCAGCCUAGACGGCAGGCAACUUAAGUCUAAUUAAAUAAUCAACUCUG